AUGAACUCUCAGCACUCCAUGAUUCUAGAACAGAUUUUGAACAGUUUUGAAAGUUGUCUGAUUCCCCAGUUGUCAAGCUCACCACCAGAUGUUGAAGCCAUGAGAAUCUAUUUAAUACUACCUGAGUUUCCCCUACUCCAGGAUUCCAAGUAUUAUAUAACAUUGACUAUUCCCUUGGCUAUGGCCAUUCUUCGGCUGGAUACAAACCCCAGCAAAGUACUAGGACAGUUGAGUCCACACUGAUUUUUGCAGGCUCCGGACACUUUGCUGAGAUAAAAACCUUCCGUUCCUCAGUGAUUUGGAGAGUGUCUUUCAUGGGAGUAGCACCUGAAAUGUUUUUA
rnacentral:sRNA from 2 species